ensembl:lncRNA
CCCCUUCCCAGACCUCAUUUAAGGGCUGGUGGUGGAGGUGAGGAUAUUUUGCUGGAGGUCCAUGUGUACCUGAGGCCUUCUGAAGGGAAAUAUGCACAGAGCCUGGUAUCCCGUUAUUGCACCAGUGGAUCUGGGAAUAGAUAGCUGGAGGAGCUUAUGCUCAGGAUACAUCUCAGGGGCCAACUUCCACUGAAGAAGCAGACUACAUUUAAAGCAUUUGAAGACUUGUGGUUUGCGGCCGAAAUCCUGUCUGUGAGAGCUGGUAGUCACUGGUAGUUCAAUCUCCUCUUCAGCUGGCAUUUGUCAUUAAAUAAACAGUGUGCUUCCUCUUUCAGCUAGAUUAGUACAAAUAGAGAGCAAUUCCGGCUCAGUGUCAGCUUAAAACAGAAACUGAAGGCCUAGGAUACUCGUUAUUUGUAAGGAGAAGUUCACAGAGGAGCAAGGUGCCAGAUUAAUGACCCAGGGGACCAUGAGUUUUAUUCAAAGAUGGCCUAAUUCCCAGCAAAGUCCCAGUGCCCAGUUUCCUCCUCAGCAGCCCUGCAUCUCUGAGAGGCUCCCUGCCAGGAGGAAACACUCAUCUCCUCCACAUAGGUAAGACCACAGGCACGAGCAGUUCUGCAAAGCCUUCCGGAGCAGGUGCACCAGGAGCUGGGCAUGCAGGAAGCUCACAGCCUCAACAGGGGGAGAGCUCAGAGAUCGCCAGCCCAUGGGUGCCUGGGACUUCUGCCACCAUCUGCAGCCGGGGGACCGGUUCCUGUGCCAUGGCCACCCCUCCAGCAGGAGAUGGACAGAGGUCAUGGCGUGCCUUUCACAGCUCUCCCCAGAAGGGGACAUGAAAAGGGGAAAUAAUAACAACAAAGGAUGUUGCUGGUUCUACACGCUUAUUAUUAGCGGAGGAAGGGCUGGGAUUAAUCACUCCCGCAGAAGCAGCUGUAAAGGAUGGAAGUAGCUGAUCAAAGUGGACUUUGUUAUUCCCAGUGUAUCAUUCUGCUGAGCAAUGAGAACUAGCAUGGGGCACUGGAGCUUCAAAAGGGUUUUAAUGACUCCAAGGCUUGAACCAAGGACACUGCUGGAGCUAAUCAAGAAGGAAAUCCAGGGCAAGGUGGAAAUGAUGGAAAUGAGUGCUUUGGUCCGAGGAAUUUUUCCACAUCUUUCACUUCCUAAUUCCAUACCUUUGAGGUAAUAAAAUUUACAAUGAUGGAAAAAAAAAUAGCGGGACAAUGGGAAAUGUUCCUCUAUGGACUGGGCUACGUGUGGCUGGGUUGCACCUGAUUCCUGCGCCGGUGGCAGGGGGGACAGAGGGCACAAGGAGCCACUCCAUCUUGCCCUGCUGGCUUCUGACAAAACCACGGUCCUUCCACCUCCUCCUGUCCUAGGAUGGCCCCUCCUAUUGCCAGGCAGGUGAAAAGCACCAUGGAGGCUGGGGCAGGCCCCCUUUCCUCCUUGCUGACUGAAUGGAUGCACGGCAAGUUCCUUCUGCAUCCUCAAGUAUGCAGCCCUGGCACAGCCCUUCAGUCAGCUGCAGGGACAAGAAGUUGCCCUGUGCCGCUGUUGGGGCGAGCUAUGAAUGAGUGCAGAGAAUCUCUGAGCGAUGGCUGGGAAUUAGCUGUGGGGAGCCUGACUCGCCCCCACUGCAGCCAGUGGAGCUCUGCCAUACAAAAGCACAGGCACAUGUCUGCAGAACAGCUCUCACCCUAAUGUGGAGAAGAAAUACAUACUGUAAGGGGUGGCUUUGUUGAUGACACAUCCACCAUGUCGCUCUCUUCUCGCUUCCUUCGUUUCUUCCUUCCUUGUUUCUGUUUAUAGAGCAAAUAGAUCCAAAAGAGCACUUCCUACUCAGCAGUGCUAGCAUCUCUGAGACAGUCAAGGACAUGCUGUCCACAAACAGGUCUUUUUCCUGCCUGUGAAAUGUUGGUCCUCUUUUAAAAGAAAGACUCUGAGAGCAUUCAUAUCCAGACUGUAAGCCUAUCAGCGCCCAUCUUGCUUGGUAUCUCGCAUAAGCCCUGCCUGCCCCGUGGCCCAGCACACAAGGGCCAUGAGGUAUCUUCAGUGCUCUCUCUCUUUCUGCAACCAGAGAAGAUCCAUGGGUCUGUUUCUUGUCACUCCUGUCAGGAAGAAUCCAGCAUGCAUUUUGUGGUUGGAAGUCAAAACCGAGAGCUUUCCUUCCCCAAACUCAGCAGCUGCAGUGUUGUCUGUUUUGCUUUCUCAGCCUAAACAUGCAGCAGCAUGUUCUGCUGAGGGGCAAAUCAAGCGAGAUGCUGGAGCAGACAGAAGGAGAAAUAGAGGCCAAGGAGCACCACCUAGCAAGGGAACCCAGUGCCCCAUACAAGCCACAGCACACUCAGCAGCCCCCCUGCAGCAGCGAUGCACCAUGACUUAGUGAGUGCAUACAGAUUCCUGCUUCCUCCUUUCCCAGCCCAGUGUCUUAACUCCUCUGCAAUGGGCAAGGUGGACCUGACCUGCAUGCAGCUGUCCGUGUCCCUAGGGAUGUGACAUUAACUGAGGCUGGGAACUGCCCCGGCUGCAUCCCUUUCCUCCUG